rnacentral:lncRNA from 1 species
AGUUGUGCAAUCACUCACAUGUUCCACUUGCUGUUCCUGUCUCUUUGUAUGGUUGUGUCCUUUUCAUACAAAGUCAUCGGGGGCGAUUUUGUGCAAUUACAGUCCUCAGAUUCUCUGUGAUCUUCUCUUCUUUAAGUUAAAACAUUUCGUACCAAUCACUUUUUCUAACUCCUAUUUACACUACUACACUACUUUUCAAACAUAUGUACCCACUCAAUUUUUUCAACUCUUCUUCUCCGAGAUUUUUCUUCUGAUUAAUUGAUUGUUUUUAUUUGGUUUCGUAACGUACUUUCUCUUUAAUUACCCGAAGUAAGGAAAAAACGAGUUAAUAUAUUAUAAACUAAUUAAUAAAGAGAGAGAGAGUAAUAAUGAGGCGUGGGGUGUAGUGAGGUAUGGAGGAAAAGUGGGGCCCACGAGCAUGAAAAUCCAACCGUACAUCAGAAAGAUUCCCCUAUUAGAUACGUGGGUCCCAU